rnacentral:misc_RNA from 1 species
UAAGCACGAGCAAGAGGCAACGUAAUCUUGUGCCCCAGGGAGCUGGGGUGCCCAGCGGCGAGUACGAGUGUCAGGAGGCCGAGCCUUCGACCGUUGGGACUAAAACCAAUUCAUGUUGCCUUGGCAGUGCAUCCUGAUCCUUGGGAACUCCACGUCGAGCUGUCGGCAGAGCCAUAUGGAAAGCGUCGUCCUUCAGGCCUGGUAAUCGAGUUCGUUUAAAUGCAUUAAAUGUGUCUCAUUAUGCCGCGGCUAUGGCAUCAGCAAGUCGAAUCCAAUCCAUCCAAUCCAUCCAAUCCAUCCAAUCCAUCCAAUCCAUCCAAACCAUCGAAACCAUCCAAUUCGCCUGACUCACUCGAAUGGCGAACGGCGAAGAGGCGGGCCUCGGACAUAUGGCAGCAGUGGGCCGCAAAUUGUUGAACAAACAAAACACUUUUUAUGCAUUUUGUGCGCCGAAGGAAGGAGAGUCAUUCUGCACGCUGACAGGCAGGGUGGAAAUUAUAGCGUCCAAAUGACAGGAGUGCCUACCAAGCUUGUAGCCAACCAAGUCCUGCCUUGUUUGCUCAACGAACACUUCACCUUGCCCUCCAGCCUUGCCAGCGGACAGGCACGCAACGAAAGCGGGCCAAUUAGUUUGCUUGGACACCAGGGGGGGAGAAGGGAGGGAUGGCGGGGCCCCGUCAACUGGCAGCCGGCCAAGGCGCACGCACUGUGGCGUCUCCGUCGCCCCUGGAGCGGGGCAUCAGGUGACGUGGGCGGCUGGGGAGGAGGGGAGGGGUCGGAAUAUAUCGUAGAGAUAUAGCACUAUCGAUAUAGUGCGUCAGAGGCGACGACGAGGACGAUGGCGCGGAAGUAGCUG